rnacentral:rRNA from 1 species
GACGAACGCUGGCGGCGUGCUUAACACAUGCAAGUCGAACGGAAAGGCCUCUUUCGGGGGGUACUCGAGUGGCGAACGGGUGAGUAACACGUGAGUAACCUGCCCUUGACUUUGGGAUAACUUCAUGAAACUGGGGCUAAUACCGGAUAGGAGCUCCUGCUGCAUGGUGGGGGGUGUAAAGUUUCGGCGGUUGGGGAUGGACUCGCGGCUUAUCAGCUUGGUGGUGGGGUAGUGGAUUACCAAGGCUGUGACGGGUAGCCGGCCGGAGAGGGUGACCGGCCACACUGGGACUGAGAGAGGGCCCAGACACACACGGGAGGGAGGCGGGGGGGAUAUUGCACCAGGGGUGGAAGACUGAUGCAGCAACGACGGGUGCGGGAUGACGGACUUCGGGUUGUAAACCGCUUUCGCUCAUGACGAAGCUUUGUGUGACGGUAGUGGGUAAAGAAGCACCGGCUAACUACGUG